GAUGUAAGCUGGCGGCGUGCCUAAUACAUGCACGUCGAGCGAAGCGCGGACGGGUGAGUAACACGUGGAUACCCUCCUAUAAGACUGGGAUUACUUCCGGAAACCGGAGCUAAACCGGUUACUUAUAGAUGGAUCCGCGCUGCAUUAGCUAGUUGGUAAGGUACCGGCUUACAAAGGCCACGAUGCAUAGCCGACCUGAGAGGGUGAUCGGCCGUUACGGAACGGAGCAACGGUCCAGGCUCCUGCGGGAGGCAGCAGUAGGGAAGCUUCCGAAAUGGGUGAAAGCCUGACGGGACAACCCCGCGUAAGGGAUGAAGGGCGUCGGAUCGUAAAACUCUGUUAUUAGGGAAGCGGUACCUAAUCAGAAAGCUCGGUCUAACUACGUGCCAGCCGCCGCGGUAAUUC
rnacentral:rRNA from 1 species